GACGAACGCUGGCGGCGUGCUUAACACAUGCAAGUCGAGCGAGGCCCUUCUUCGGGAGGUGCCCUAGCGGCGAACGGGUGAGUAACACGUGGGCAACCUGCCCUCAGCUCUGGGAUAACUCCAAGAAAUUGGUGCUAAUACCGGAUGUGACCGCUGACCGCAUGGUCUGGUGGUGGAAAGAUUCAUCGGCUGAGGAUGGGCCCGCGGCCUAUCAGCUUGUUGGUGGGGAAUGGCCCACCAAGGCGACGACGGGUAGCCGGCCUGAGAGGGUGACCGGCCACACUGGGACUGAGACACGGCCCAGACUCCUACGGGAGGCAGCAGUGGGGAAUAUUGCGCAAUGGGCGAAAGCCUGACGCAGCGACGCCGCGUGAGGGAUGACGGCCU
rnacentral:rRNA from 1 species